rnacentral:lncRNA from 1 species
AACAGAUCUUCUUAACUACACAUACUCUAAAAUCCUCUUUAACUCAAUUUUUUACUUACUUUCACAAUUUUAUACUUGUUUCUAUUGAUUCAGAGAGUCUUUAGGUCACAGGAUCUCACAGCUGUCCUCCCUGCAGAGAAUUAUGCUCCCUAGAGAGGUUUGAUCAAUGAGAGACAUCAGCAGGAGAGAAGGGGACAGGAAAAGAAGGAGGUAGGGGUUUAUUCUUCUCCGGUCCACUGCAGAUUGGCGGUGUUCCUCCUCAUCGGCCACAGCUCUGGGGUUGGGUAGCUGCUCCCUCCUUGCCCUUUCAGGCCUAGGAUUGGUACCAGUUCCCUGCCCUUACUGACCCUAGGAUACUGAACUAUCCCUUUUUGUUUUCCCCAAACUCAGUCCACACCUUUGUAGAUGAGAUUCCUUAUUAAAUUCUUGUCAAAUUGUCCAGUCUGUGGGUGUCAUCUGCUUACUGUUGUACCUCAACUGAUAAAGGCAUGCAAUGUUUUACACCUGACAUGGUUUGGAUCUGUGUCCCCACCCAAAUCUCAUGUUGAAAUAUAAUCCCCAAUGCUGGAAGUGGACCGUGGUGGGAGGUGAUUGGAUCAUGGGGAAUGGUUUAGCACCAUCCCCUUGGUGCUGUCUUGUGACAGAGUUCUCACAAGGUCUAGUUGUUUAAAAGUGUGUAGCACCCUGCCCCCUUGGCCUUGCUCCUGCCAUGUAAGACACCUGCUCCCACUUUGCCUUCUGCUACGAGUACAAGCUCCCUGAGGCCUCCCCAGAAGCAGAUGCCACCAUGCUUCCUGUACAGCCUGUGGAACCGUGAGCCAAUUAAAACUCUUUUCUUUAUAAAUUAUGCAGUCUCAGGUAUUUCUUUACAGCACUGUGAGAAUG